rnacentral:rRNA from 1 species
ACGCUCGACACCUACGGGGGCAGCAGUGGGGAAUAUUGCACAAUGGGGGAAACCCUGAUGCAGCGACGCCGCGUGAGUGAAGAAGUAUUUCGGUAUGUAAAGCUCUAUCAGCAGGGAAGAAGAUGACGGUACCUGAGUAAGAAGCCCCGGCUAACUACGUGCCGGCAGCCGCGGUAAUCUGAGCGGGCUGGCAAGGC